UACGGGGGGAGCAAGCGUUGUUCGGAUUUACUGGGCGUAAAGGGCGCGUAGGCGGCGUGACAAGUCACUUGUGAAAUCUCCGGGCUUAACUCGGAACGGUCAAGUGAUACUGUCGGACUAGAGUACAGAAGGGGCAACUGGAAUUCUCGGUGUAGCGGUGAAAUGCGUAGAUAUCAGGAGGAACACCGAUGGCGAAGGCAGGUCUCUGGGCCACUACUGACGCUGAGAAGCGAAAGCGUGGGGAGCGAACAGG
rnacentral:rRNA from 1 species